rnacentral:tRNA from 1 species
GGAUUGUGGCUCAAUGGUAGAGAGCUUGUCUCGCAUGUGUGAGGCACUGGGUUCAAUCCUCAGCACCA